rnacentral:lncRNA from 1 species
GUGCUGGUUUGGCGUGGCCAGGAAGGAAAAGGAUGCCAUGCUUUGCAUAGCACAUAGAUAAAUACUGCCAACCAGCUGUGUGGGGUAGGAGGUCAUCCUUCUUCAAGGGUUGUCACUCUUUGUUUCCAGGUUUCAGCUCACUGUGGAAAAGAGCAGAGCAGAGGUUGCCGCGGAAAAGAAAGCUGCAGUAGAGUGGAAGAUGAGUAGAGGGGGCUCUGCCGGCAGGCUGCUGCAGAGGCGGAAGACACUUCCCCCCUCCAUGCUGCUGCAGCGCAAGCCAAGCUCAAGGCAGAAAGACGUGGCGAAGGAGCCUUCUGCCAGCGCGCUCCCGCCAGGUGCAGGCAGCUCCCG